rnacentral:rRNA from 1 species
UUGAAAGGGAAACGAUUGAAGUCAGUCAUGCUUGCAGGGAAUCAACAUGGUGGUUUUCUUCCUUGUGCACUUCCUUGCUUGGCAGGUUAGCAUCAAUUUUGAUUGUCAUUAAAAAACCGGGGGAAUGUGGCUUCUUCGGGAGUGUUAUAGACUUUGGUAGAUGUGGCGAUCAAGAUUGAGGAUUGCAGCGAAUGCUUCUUGGCUAGUCACCUGGCUUCUGACGGUCACCUUGCUUUCGAUAGCUUGCUAACGUUGGUGAGAUUUGAUUGUCUAGAUGUUAGAGUGAUCAUAAAUUCGCUAAGGAUGCUGACGUAAUGGCUUUAAACGACCCGUCUUGAAACACGGACCA